rnacentral:rRNA from 1 species
UGGGGAAUUUUGGACAAUGGGCGAAAGCCUGAUCCAGCAAUGCCGCGUGCAGGAUGAAGGCCCUCGGGUUGUAACCUGCUUUUGUACGGAACGAAAAGCCUGGGGCUAAUACCCCCGGGUCAUGACGGUACCGUAAGAAUAAGCACCGGCUAACUACGUGCCAGCAGCCGCGGUAAUACGUAGGGUGCAAGCGUUAAUCGGAAUUACUGGGCGUAAAUCGUGCGCAGGCGGUUAUGCAAGACAGAGGUGAAAUCCCCGGGCUCAACCUGGGAACUGCCUUUGUGACUGCAUAGCUAGAGUACGGUAGAGGGGGAUGGAAUUCCGCGUGUAGCAGUGAAAUGCGUAGAUAUGCGGAGGAACACCGAUGGCGAAGGCAAUCCCCUGGACCUGCACUGACGCUCAUGCACGAAAGCGUGGGGAGCAAACA